GGGCCUAUAGCACAGUGGUAGUGCGCCCGGUUUGCAUCCGGGAUGCUGGAGUUCGAUUCUCCAUAGGUCCACCC
rnacentral:tRNA from 2 species